GUUAGUAGCCGCCCUUGGUUGUCAGGAUAACAUUAGACAGGUGUACCGGCCGGUUAAGUUGAUCCUACUUGAUAACUCUUAAUUGGGGCAGUAAAUCACAGACAGAUUCUUUUGGGAGUUUCAUUGGGAAACAAAUCGUUUUAUUUUUGACUAAUUACAUUCCAACUUUAGAAGAUUAGUUAGAGUGUUUGGAUGAGAACAAAGACUAAUUAUUUUGGUGACAUAUGAACAACAGUAGAAAAUAGACCAAAUGAUAUUGAAAAUUAAGAUAUACAAAGCCUUAAAAAAAAUACACAUCAGUUGAUUCGGAUUCUAAUAUUUCUUUGUUGUCAACUAGUAAUACAUAUUAGAAUUUAGUUUCAUGCCAAACCAAUAGCAAAGUACCUGAAAACAAACUAGUUGAGUUAUGGCUUCUAAUCUUAAAAAUCAAAUAAUCAACCUUGUGGUUAAUAGAUCAAAAAUAAAAGAAUAUGAAAAAUACAUUGUAAGAAUAUACUAGACAAAGGAUAUUUAAGAAAACAAUUACUAACUUGUACUACCAUAAAAAAUUAUGAAGCUAGUAAUUUCUUUUAGUUUUAGAAUUAAAUUUGUUAUCAACUAGUAUUUUCUAAGUUUUCUAGAAUUGGCCGAAUAUGUCAUGUGUUCAUACACUCCAAAGAUAUUGGAUGUUUGGGAUUGAGUGGAAUCCAACCAUAGCGGCAAAACAAAGAACAUGAACAUUAAUGCAGUUAACAAGGACCAUAAUCUAAGGGAAUAUGUUUCACAUGUUUACACACUAAAUAUCCCAUUAAAUUUGGUGGAUAUUAUGAAGUCUUUAAUUUUUAAAUCAUCGUGAUUCGAGUAAAUGUAAGUUUGUGAACAACAAAUUACGUUGAUUUAAAUCAACAACUAAUUUAUACAUGAACUCCUUAUGUAAUCCUAUUAAUUUUAGUAAUUCAUCUGUAAAAUCGAUAUAGAAUAGUAAUAUACUUAUAGAAUGAACUGAAGGCUUAAGUAAAUUAAGGUGAAAAGUUGUAUGCAUAAAAAAGAUAUUGGAUGACUGAGAUAUCUUAAGUCACCGAACACAAAUCCCGUUGACAUGCCUCCAAUAAACGUAUUUUUAAAAAUCAAUUAAGAACAGGAAAACACUAGUUGAAUUUGAUUAGUGUUUAUAUUUCUAUUGAAAAAGGGUUAUAAAAAAUAUAAAGGAAGAGAAAAGCAUGCCGUUUAGAAUGUCAAAUGUUUUAGUAGAAGAGAAAUGCGUAGAGGAGGGACCAUGCCGGCCGCAUGUUACUACGAUCUCCAUUGCUCAUUGUCUUGUUUCUUCAAUUCUACCUUUUAUGCAUUAUUAAUACAUUACUUCUAAAAUACUCUCCUUAGCUCUCUAUUCUAAAAUAAACAAUAGCAAAACUCUUAUAAAAAUAGAAACAAAAAAAAACAAGUCUGAAAGGGGUGUUUCUACAAAACAUAAAAAAUAGCUUGUUACUUAUGAUACUUUGAAACAUACGAUUAGUGAUAAUUUCUGAGCUUACUAUCUGUUUUGUGGUAUCCUAUGAGUUUAAUAUCUUUGGUUUACUGCUUAUAAAUAUACCGAAUUUUACUAAGUACGACAUAGAAACCUUGGUUCGAAUUCAUAGUAAUGUGACACUGGAGAAAAGUCUAAGCCAAUUUAGACUGAAUCAUAUAUUUUCUUAUAAAUGUUGUCCUUGGUGUUUGUAUGACUCAUCAGAAACUAACGUUUUUUAACUUGUUUAGUUUUAUGUCAAAUGGUCAGAUAAUAUUUUUUACAAGAAUUAACGUUUGUUUUAUCGACAUUAUUGUUGAUAACUUGAUCUAUUUUCAGAACGCAAUCACACAUAUCGAGAGUUAUACCUUGUAGAUAACUUAAAUUUGUAUAAAUAUCCGAAUUGGCAUUUUUAAAACAUAGUUGUUUUAGUAACUAAUUCAACGGUCGUCUGGUUAUUAGUGGUUAGAAAUUCAUGUAUUUAGGAUGGAGUAUUAGGAACCGACUGGCUGCUGAAUCAAUUAGACUUCGUGAUUGCCGCAGAAAUCUUUCAGCUUUUACAUGCCAAGUUGGAAUGAUUGCUCUGGUUAAUAUCGUGUGUGAGAGAUAGGCAACUCUUCACGAUCCUAAUGGAGACUGACUAUUCAGAUUUAGUGGAUAUGAUUGCCUGACCAGCUUUCACUUCAGAAAUAAAAGCGUCACGACUUUUACAAGCUCAUUUGAGAGUGUAAGUUUGAUUCAUAUUUCGAGAAGCAAAAACAUUUAUGCAUAUGCACUAGUAAAAGAAGGUAAGAUGAGACAUAAUAUUUUCUUAUGUAAA